rnacentral:lncRNA from 1 species
CUCCAGUGCGAGUGAGGAGCAGCUGCCUUCCCUGUGUGCUCUCCAGGAGAGGCAGCUGCUCCUUCCCACGAGAUGGCAAGCGGUGGAGCUGGAAGUCGCUGUGGCUGAGUGGCUGGGCCCCCCUGCCCAUGCCAGCCAGAAACACGUCCUGUUGUCUCCCUCCCAGCAAGGGUGAGCAGACCAGCCUCAGACACACAGACCUCUUGGUUUGAGAGUGCAGAAGUGGAAAGAUCCAGUGAGUACCACAACCCUGCUACACUUUCCAAGAAAGCUGGAUGUUGACCCUGGAGAUCUUGCCUCAGUGACGUGGCUGUCAGGACGCAGCCUUCUCCUCUAUCUGCUGUAAUAUCAAUGCUAGAGUUCCUGUGCACUGCAGUGAGGUAGGUGCCCUCCUUCAUCAUUGGGAAUCAACUCCUUUUAGGCCCUGUGAAAAACCAGAGGCA